rnacentral:rRNA from 1 species
UAUUCACCUUCCUUUUCAAAUAUAUUAAUAACUUAUCGAAUUUUAUUUACUGUACCAGUCACUGUAGCAUCAACUGAAUGCAGUUUAUCAAAGUUGAAGUUAUUGGGAAACUAUUUGAGAUCAUCAAUGUCACAGGAAAGAUUGAAUGGUCUGGAUACUUUAUGCAUUGAGAAAGAAUGUUGA